CCAGGGUCUGUAGUGACGCCUCUGAGAUGCAGUGCCUUAGACCGCUGCGCCACUCGGGAGCCCUUGGUGUUGCCUUACCUCAUAUUGAUCAGUUUGACUGAUUGAUUAGAUUCUAUAAGGUUAGAUUUGAGUUGUAGUACUUGGACUACGAGCAAGUUGGAUUCUUCCAAGGUUUUGCCUUAUUUCUUAUAUACGUUAGGGUGUUGUCGAUUUCAUCCACAGUUACUCAAUCAAAUGAGUGGUUAUUUAGCAAUAAGAAUGGGCUUGUUGUGGAGAGCUUAAUGUCUUGUUGCAUUUUGGCAGACUUUGGAAAUGUCAUGCAUGAGUGUGAGUAGGUGUUAUCUGGUGUGUUGUUCAAGGAGUUUGAAUUAUUGAUGUGACUUAACUUUUAAACAAAAUUGGGAUCCUUAACUUUAAGAGAACCCAAGAAUCAGAGAAAGGCAAGUGACAGCAGUGAAGUCCUGUAUGGCAAUAAUUUUUGAAGUUUAAUGAGAAGGAAAUGCAAACUUUGCCAGGUGGAAUUGAGGCUCAGUAAUGGUGGUACAGGUGCAAUGCUUAACCAUCGGAAAGGGACGCACCGUGAGACCCGUUGCUGGCAGCAGCACGGCUGCAUUGUAAACUCACGUGGAAUUCUAUGCAUUUUUCUUAUCGUUUUAACGUAAAAGUUAUUUAAAAAUAAAUAGCAAUUUAAAUGUUAAGAU